rnacentral:rRNA from 1 species
UACGUAGGGUGCAAGCGUUAAUCGGAAUUACUGGGCGUAAAGCGUGCGCAGGCGGUUGUGUAAGACAGAUGUGAAAUCCCCGGGCUCAACCUGGGAACUGCAUUUGUGACUGCACGGCUGGAGUGCGGCAGAGGGGGAUGGAAUUCCGCGUGUAGCAGUGAAAUGCGUAGAGAUGCGGAGGAACACCGAUGGCGAAGGCAGCCCCCUGGGCCAAUACUGACGCUCAGGCACGAAAGCGUGGGGAGCAAACAGG